GGGGGCGACUUGGCUUCGACGUGGGUAGCGGAGCUUGCGGUGCAUGCCGAGAGGGUAGUGACUCUCGUAAAACAAUCGCUGUAACUUUUAUAGUUGCCAACGACGAAAACUACGCACUAGCGGCCUAAAACCCGCUUACACCGAUGAUCAGGGCCUGUGAUGAGAACUCGGUGGCAAUGUUCGCAGGAUCGCGUGGAGGUCUCGCCCGGGGCCAAAACGUUAGAAACAAUCGGGAUCGCCUAGAACACCCUGAUCGUCGGGUCGUUCACGGGCUAAAUUAAUAGACGAAGCUAAGCAUGUAGAGCCAAAAGCCGAGCGCCAACGGACGCGGGUUCAACUCCCGCCGCCUCCACCA
rnacentral:tmRNA from 1 species